AUAUUUUCUUUCCCUAUCCAGGUUAGGAGGGGAGUGAUAGAGAGACUUGGGUGGUACCUGGCAUCCAGCCAGGGUCAACUCGCCACAAGAUAUUAAAAUUCCUUCAACAAUUUCAGUUGUCAAAGUCUGAUAUAACACCCUUAAAAUCUUUUUAGCAAGUGCACUUGAACAGCCCAAGAAAGGAGAAGUGUGAUCUGUGUAUCCUUAGUAAUCCUUGAACAUUUUGACUAGUUUUUCCUGUUCUUCCUUUUUUCUUAAGAGACCUACUGGUAUAUGAGAGGCUUACUUCACAGAGUUUUCUUUAACACAUACAAAAUGCCUCAUAGGUUUCUCCCAGGGUCCUGAACCUAACUCGAGCUACACUCUUGCUUUACAACAGCAUAAAAUCAGAGUUCUACAUCAAAAGAAGGUUACAGCGAGCUGAGGUAUUUCCUAGUUAACCCUGUUUUAGAUGCAAGAGGUUUGUUUUCUCUGCUGAUGAUAGUACAAACUUUGCAUUCUCAACAAUAAAAAUAACACAACAA